rnacentral:rRNA from 1 species
CGCGUAGGCGGUGCCAAAAGUCGAGUGUGAAAGCCCCGGGCUCAACCUGGGAACGGCGCUCGAGACUGUGGGACUGGAGUUCGGGAGAGGAGCGUGGAAUUCCCAGUGUAGAGGUGAAAUUCGUAGAUAUUGGGAAGAACACCGGUGGCGAAGGCGGCGCUCUGGACCGAGACUGACGCUGAGGCGCGAAAGCGUGGGGAGCAAACAGGAUUAGAUACCCUGGUAGUCCACGCGGUAAACGAUGUGUGCUAGACGUUGGGGAGCCUAGCUCUUCGGUGUCGCCGCUAACGCAUUAAGCACACCGCCUGGGGAGUACGGCCGCAAGGUUAAA